AUUUUCGUCUGAUUCUUUUCAAAAGAGGAGCAAAAUAAAUUCUAACAACAGGGGAAAGUUAGAAGUGAACCACGUAGCUGGUUUAAAGUCAUUUGUACGACUUCGUCACGACAUGUAAGAUUCCGUCACUGGCUAGGAGCCCGGACUAGUAGACUUCUACAGAGGGACUCACUAUCGGCAGGCGACGGGAUCUUGGGUACAUCCUAGAGCAAACAAGAUUUGGGAGGAGAUGGACACCUUACGUAGUCAGCCCACUCUCGAUGGUACUUAGCGGAGUGAGCCAGAGAUCCUAAGUCAGGUGCUUGGCACCCGUUCUGGACGUGUGUGUGG